ACCAGCAACAGGACGUGGCCCCUUGUCCUCUGAGCAAAUUGGGGGCACGGCGGCGCUCGGCUCACACCUGCCAGCUCUGAGGAAGCCACGCUCCUGCUCAGUGGCAGGAGGGGGUUGAUGCAAGGAACCGAGGCAACCCUUCCCUCCAUCAAACCGCCUGGGUCCACGAUCUAUAGAGGGUGACUGCCUUUCUGCACGCGCCAGGGAGGCUGGACUCGGCAGAGCUUCCUGGCUCUCAGAUCUGGAAUUCUCGCCCGGGCUGAUUCCCCCAUGAGGCAAGACAUGAGGCUUAUAAAAAGACGUCUGAGCGAUGGCUGUCAA